UACGUAGGUGGCAAGCGUUGUCCGGAUUUACUGGGCGUAAAGAGCGCGCAGGCGGUCGUUCAAGUCGCGUGUGAAAGCCCCCGGCUCAACUGGGGAGUGUCACGCGAUACUGAUCGACUCGAAGGCAGGAGAGGGAAGUGGAAUUCCCGGUGUAGUGGUGAAAUGCGUAGAUAUCGGGAGGAACACCAGUGGCGAAGGCGACUUCCUGGCCUGUUCUUGACGCUGAGGCGCGAAAGCUAGGGGAGCAAACGGG
rnacentral:rRNA from 1 species